rnacentral:rRNA from 1 species
ACGCUAGCGGGAGGCCUAACACAUGCAAGCCGAGCGGUAGAAGAUCUUCGGAUCUUUGAGAGCGGCGUACGGGUGCGGAACACGUGUGCAACCUGCCUUUAUCAGGGAGAUAGCCUUUCGAAAGGAAGAUUAAUAUCCCAUAAUAUUUUGAGUGGCAUCACUUAAAAUUGAAAGCUCCGGCGGAUAGAGAUGGGCACGCGCAAGAUUAGAUAGUUGGCGGGGUAACGGCCCACCAAGUCAAUGAUCUUUAGGGGGCCUGAGAGGGUGAUCCCCCACACUGGUACUGAGACACGGACCAGACUCCUACGGGAGGCAGCAGUGAGGAAUAUUGGACAAUGGGUGAGAGCCUGAUCCAGCCAUCCCGCGUGAAGGGCGACGGCCCUAUGGGUUGUAAACUUCUUUUGUAUAGGGAUAAACCUACCCUCGUGAGGGUAGCUGAAGGUACUAUACGAAUAAGCACCGGCUAACUCCGUGCCAGCAGCCGCGGUAAUACGGAGGGUGCAAGCGUUAUCCGGAUUUAUUGGGUUUAAAGGGUCCGUAGGCGGACUCGUAAGUCAGUGGUGAAAUCUCAUAGCUUAACUAUGAAACUGCCAUUGAUACUGCGGGUCUUGAGUAAGGUAGAGGUAGCUGGAAUAAGUAGUGUAGCGGUGAAAUGCAUAGAUAUUACUUAGAACACCAAUUGCGAAGGCAGGUUACCAUGUCUUAACUGACGCUGAUGGACGAAAGCGUGGGGAGCGAAC